rnacentral:rRNA from 1 species
AGUGAACGCUGGCGGUAGGCCUAACACAUGCAAGUCGAACGGCAGCACAGUAAGAGCUUGCUCUUACGGGUGGCGAGUGGCGGACGGGUGAGGAAUACAUCGGAAUCUACUUUUUCGCGGGGGAUAACGUAGGGAAACUUACGCUAAUACCGCAUACGACCUACGGGUGAAAGCAGGGGAUCUUCGGACCUUGCGCGAUUGAAUGAGCCGAUGUCGGAUUAGCUAGUUGGCGGGGUAAAGGCCCACCAAGGCGACGAUCCGUAGCUGGUCUGAGAGGAUGAUCAGCCACACUGGAACUGAGACACGGUCCAGACUCCUACGGGAGGCAGCAGUGGGGAAUAUUGGACAAUGGGCGCAAGCCUGAUCCAGCCAUACCGCGUGGGUGAAGAAGGCCUUCGGGUUGCAAAGCCCUUUUGUUGGGAAAGAAAAGCAGCAGGUUAAUACCCCGCUGUUCUGACGGUACCCAAAGAAUAAGCACCGGCUAACUUCGUG